rnacentral:lncRNA from 1 species
UCAGAUAUUUCCAGUUGAUUUGGAACUCCCUGGUGGCGUGGGAAGCUGUGUUAACAUUUUCGCAUUUGUCUGUUGCAGUAGGAGUUGGGGGGUGAAUUCUUUUAAAAGAGAAUGUGCCAUACAAAACAUUAUCCCUUUGGACUGAACUCAUCGUGUGAGCACAGAUCCAGAGGUGAAGAUGUGUGAUGGUUUUGGACCAGUAAGCAGAUCGCCAGACCAGGAACACACACUGUGGUGUUUCUACUCAGCCUGUUGCCCUCUUCACAGAUCCUGUUUCCUUUGGAAGCAUCACUGAGGUGAGGCUGAAU